UACGAGAGCCCCGAGCGUUAUCCGGAAUUAUUGGGCGUAAAGGGUGCGUAGGUGGUUUUGUUAGUCGUUUGUUAAAUCUCUGGGCUUAACCUAGAAACUGUGAACGAAACGGCAAAACUUGAGAAUGUGAGAGGUAUAUGGAACUCAUGGCGUAGGGGUGAAAUCCGUUGAUAUCAUGGGGAACACCAAAAGCGAAGGCAAUAUACUAGCGCAUAUCUGACACUCAAGCACGAAAGCGUGGGUCGCGAAUGGG
rnacentral:rRNA from 1 species